CAUGGGUAGGAUUUCCAUUAGAAUCAAUCUGAAACUGGCCUCUCGGCCCUUGAUUCUGUUGCCUACUAGGGUUAGGCACUGGCUGACUAGGUAGUUCACCUUUCUUCCUAUCCCCUAGAGAGUUUGCUAUUUGGCUUAGACUAACCUCAAGUUUUGCAAUUGCUUGCGCAUGGAAUUGGUUAGUCUGGGUUUGAGCCAUGUUGGUCUGUUGUUGCUGUUGGAUAAAAUCUUGUUGUUGUUUCAUCAUGUUAGCCAUCAUGGUUUCUAAUGAUGAAGAUUGUUGUGGGAUAGG
rnacentral:lncRNA from 1 species